rnacentral:tRNA from 1 species
GCUAGUUUAGUAUAAUUUUAAGUACGUGGAAUUGUAGCUUCUAAGGUAAUCAGUAUGUUAACUAGAA